rnacentral:rRNA from 1 species
UACGGAGGAUCCGAGCGUUAUCCGGAUUUAUUGGGUUUAAAGGGUGCGUAGGCGGAAUGGUAAGUCAGAGGUGAAAUCCUGCAGCUCAACUGUAGAAUAGCCUUUGAAACUGUCAUUCUUGAGUACAUUCGAGGUAGGCGGAAUGUGGUGUGUAGCGGUGAAAUGCAUAGAUAUACCACAGAACACCGAUUGCGUAGGCAGCUUACUAAACUGUAACUGACGCUGAGGCACGAAAGCGUGGGUAUCAAACAGGAUUAGA